UGAGGAAUUUUCCGCAAUGGGCGAAAGCCUGACGGAGCGACGCCGUGUGUGUGACGAAGUCUUUCGGGAUGUAAAACACUGUCAGAGGGGAAGAUAUUGACGGUACCCUCAGAGGAAGGCCCGGCUAACUACGUGCCAGCAGCCGCGGUAAUACGUAGGGGCCAAGCGUUGUCCGGAAUUAUUGGGCGUAAAGAGCAUGUAGGCGGCUCGAUCAGUCAGAUGUAAAAUCUAUAGGCUCAACCUAUAAUCGCAUCUGAUACUGUUGAGCUAGAGAGUGGUAGAGGAAAGCGGAACUUCCGGUGUAGCGGUGAAAUGCGUAGAUAUCGGAAGGAACACCAGUGGCGAAGGCGGCUUUCUGGGCCAUUUCUGACGCUGAGAUGCGAAAGCUAGGGGAGCAAACGGG
rnacentral:rRNA from 1 species